UUUUUAUAAUAACUCAACUUUAGUAAAUUUAAUUUUAUAAGAUUUAUGUAAUUUUCUGAUGAUCAGAAUUAUAAUCAAAUAUCUGCAAAUGAAUAAUAAAAAACAAAUAUCAAUUGAGAUGCUUCUGGGACGUACAACAGUGAAACUGCCGCAUUCUCCAGAGACUCUAAUGAGUAAACUGACAUUUUCUGUUAGAGAAUUAUUCAUCGAAUAAAGUUCAAAAAGGGAUAUAUGUGCGGACGAACAGGUUGUUCCGGGAUCAUCUAUGUUUUUUUUAAUAAGAAAUCUCUACUUUUCUCCUUGGAUUCAAACAGAUGGAAAAUUCUACGUAGAGAUAAGAUAUCAUAUGCGGAGUCCGGGAGGGUCACACCAAAAUCAUGCAAUAUUCAAACAAUUACUUUUUUAUUACGGAUUCAGGAAUAAACGGAAAAUUCUACAAAUGAGAUUUCAUGCUGUAAUCAAAAAAAUUAUUUCUACAUUAUUUUAACGCGUAGUAGCCACGUCUAGCGCGCGUUCAUACCACCUUUCUCAUUUUUUUAUGUCAACUUAGGGGCUGUUUAUAAACCGACAGUUUUGCAAACGAACUUAAAUACUCUAAUACACGAUGAAAUACAUAUAUAAUUAUAUAUAAUUUAAAAAUUUCACAACUGACAACUUUGAAUAUUAAAUAAA